UGGGGAAUAUUGCACAAUGGGCGCAAGCCUGAUGCAGCCAUGCCGCGUGAGUGAAGAAGGCCCUAGGGUUGUAAAGCUCUUUCGUCGGUGAAGAUAAUGACGGUAGCCGAAGAAGAAGCCCCGGCUAACUCCGUGCCAGCAGCCGCGGUAAUACGGAGGGAGCUAGCGUUGUUCGGAAUUACUGGGCGUAAAGCGCGCGUAGGCGGCCAUUCAAGUCAGAGGUGAAAGCCCGGGGCUCAACUCCGGAACUGCCUUUGAAACUAGAUGGCUAGAAUCCAGGAGAGGUGAGUGGAAUUCCGAGUGUAGAGGUGAAAUUCGUAGAUAUUCGGAAGAACACCAGUGGCGAAGGCGACUCACUGGACUGGUAUUGACGCUGAGGUGCGAAAGCGUGGGGAGCAAACAGGAUUAGAUACCCCUGUAGUCC
rnacentral:rRNA from 1 species